rnacentral:rRNA from 1 species
AUUGAACGCUGGCGGCAUGCUUUACACAUGCAAGUCGAACGGUAACAGGCCUUCGGGUGCUGACGAGUGGCGAACGGGUGAGUAAUGCAUCGGAACGUGCCCAGAGGUGGGGGAUAACGCAGCGAAAGCUGUGCUAAUACCGCAUGUGAUCUGAGGAUGAAAGCGGGGGACCAAGCAGCAAUGUUUGGCCUCGCGCCUCUGGAGCGGCCGAUGUCAGAUUAGGUAGUUGGUGGGGUAAAGGCCUACCAAGCCGACGAUCUGUAGCUGGUCUGAGAGGACGACCAGCCACACUGGGACUGAGACACGGCCCAGACUCCUACGGGAGGCAGCAGUGGGGAAUUUUGGACAAUGGGAGCAAGCCUGAUCCAGCAAUGCCGCGUGCGGGAAGAAGGCCUUCGGGUUGUAAACCGCUUUUGUCCGGAACCAAAAGGCUCUGGCUAAUACCUGGGGCUGAUGACGGUACCGUAAGAAUAAGCACCGGCUAACUACGUG